rnacentral:rRNA from 1 species
CCCUGUUUGUCAAAAACAUGUCUUCUUGCUAUUGAUUUGAAGUCGUGCCUGCCCAGUGAGGAGUUUAACGGCCGCGGUAUUUUGACCGUGCAAAGGUAGCAUAAUCAUUAGUCUUUUAAUUGGGGGCUGGAAUGAAUGGUUUGACGAAACAAUAACUGUCUCAAUAUUAUUGAUUGAAUUUUAUUUUUAAGUUAAAAAGCUUAAAUGGGAAUGGGGGACGAGAAGACCCUAUAGAUCUUUAUAAUAUACUUAUAAUUAAAUUGUUGGUUGUUAUUUAUUUAAUUUUGAGUAUAUUAUUUCGUUGGGGUGAUGAGAGAAUAAAUAAGCUUCUAUUUUUUUAAACUAUGAUGAUUGGUUUAUAUGAUCCUAUGUUAUGGAAUUGAGAGUAAGAUACCUUAGGGAUAACAGCGUAAUUUUAUUGGAGAGUUCAUAUCGAUAAUAAAGAUUGCGACCUCGAUG